rnacentral:rRNA from 1 species
UACGUAGGUGACCAGCGUUGUCCGGAUUUACUGGGCGUAAAGAGCGCGCAGGCGGUCGUUCAAGUCGAGUGUGAAAGCCCCCGGCUCAACUGGGGAGGGUCAUUCGAUACUGAUCGACUUGAAGGCAGGAGAGGGAAGCGGAAUUCCCGGUGUAGUGGUGAAAUGCGUAGAUAUCGGGAGGAACACCAGUGGCGAAGGCGGCUUCCUGGCCUGUUCUUGACGCUGAGGUGCGAAAGCUAGGGGAGCAAACGGG